rnacentral:rRNA from 1 species
AGAGUUUGAUCCUGGCUCAGAACGAACGCUGGCGGCGUGGAUUAGGCAUGCAAGUCGAACGGUCGUGAUCAUAUGUCUCUGCGUCUUCGGACAAAGGGUCGGUCACGAUAGUGGCGGACGGGUGAGUAACGCGUGGGCAAUCUGCCCUUGACCUGGGGACAACCCUGCGAAAGCGGGGCUAAUACCGAAUGUGGUCAGAACUUCGCAUGAUGUUCUGAUUAAAGGCGGGGAUCCGAAAGGACCUGCCGGCCAAGGAUGAGCCCGCGUCCUAUUAGCUUGUUGGUGAGGUAACGGCUCACCAAGGCUGCGAUGGGUAGCCGGCCUGAGAGGGUGAUCGGCCACACUGGGACUGAGACACUGCCCAGACUCCUACGGGAGGCUGCAGUCGAGGAUCUUUCGCAAUGCCCGAAAGGGUGACGAAGCGACGCCGCGUGAGCGAUGAAGGCCUUCGGGUUGUAAAGCUCUGUCACACGGGAGGAAAUAUGUCCGGGUUAAUAGCCCGGGCACUUGACAGUACCGUGAGAGGAAGCCCCGGCUAACUACGUGCCAGCAGCCGCGGUAAUACGUAGGGGGCGAGCGUUGUUCGGAUUUAUUGGGCGUAAAGGGCGUGUAGGUGGUUGUGCAAGUCAGAUGUGAAAUCCCUCCGCUUAACGGAGGAACUGCAUUUGAUACUGCUCGACUUGAGUGCAGGGGAAGAGAACGGAAUUCCCAGUGUAGCGGUGAAAUGCGUAGAUAUUGGGAAGAACACCAGUGGCGAAGGCGGUUCUCUAUUCUGCUACUGACACUGAGGCGCGAAAGCGUGGGGAGCGAACGGGAUUAGAUACCCCGGUAGUCCACGCUGUAAACGAUGGGCACUGGGUGUAGGAGGUAUCGACCCCUCCUGUGCCGAAGCUAACGCAUUAAGUGCCCCGCCUGGGGACUACGGCCGCAAGGCUAAAACUCAAAGGAAUAGACGGGGGCCCGCACAAGCGGUGGAGCAUGUGGUUUAAUACGACGCAACGCGUAGAACCUUACCGAGGCUUGACAUGCUGGGAUUAACCCUGUGAAAGCAGGGGGAUUGCCCGUAAGGGUGUAACCAGCACAGGUGUUGCAUGGCUGUCGUCAGCUCGUGUCGUGAGAUGUUGGGUUAAGUCCCGCAACGAGCGCAACCCUCGCCCUUUGUUGCCAGCGGAUAAUGCCGGGGACUCUAAGGGGACUGCCCGUGAUAGGCGGGAGGAAGGUGAGGAUGACGUCAAGUCAGUACGGCCCUUACGCCUCGGGCUACACACGUGCUACAAUGGCCGGUACAAUGGGUUGCAAGACCGCGAGGUGGAGCUAAUCCCCAAAACCGGUCCCAGUUCGGAUUGGAGUCUGCAAUUCGACUCCAUGAAGUCGGAAUCGCCAGUAAUGGCGCAUCAGCUACGGCGCCGUGAAUACGUUCCCGGGCCUUGUAC